CCCUUAGAUGUUCUGGGCCGCACGCGCGCUACACUGAUGCAUUCAACGAGUUUUUCCUGGUCCGAGAGGAAUGGGUAACCUUUUGAAAGUGCAUCGUGCUAGGGAUAGACUAUUGCAAUUAUUGGUCUUCAACGAGGAAUUCCCAGUAAGUGCAAGUCAUAAGCUUGCGCUGACUACGUCCCUGCCCUUUGUACACACCGCCCGUCGCUACUACCGAUUGAAUGAUUUAGUGAGGACUUCGGACUGGGACCGAUGCGGCUUUCGGGCUGCGUCGGUAUUCUGGAAAGAUGUCCAAACUGUAUCAUUUAGAGGAAGUAAAAGUCGUAACA
rnacentral:rRNA from 1 species